GGAAUAUUGGGCAAUGGGCGAAAGCCUGACCCAGCAACGCCGCGUGAAGGAUGAAGGUCUUCGGAUUGUAAACUUCUUUGAUUGGGGAAGAAUAAAUGACCUACCCAAAGAACAAGUCACGGCUAACUACGUGCCAGCAGCCGCGGUAAUACGUAGGUGACAAGCGUUAUCCGGAUUUACUGGGUGUAAAGGGCGUGUAGGCGGCUUUGCAAGUCAGAAGUGAAAUUCCCGGGCUUAACCUGGGCGCUGCUUCUGAAACUGUAGAGCUUGAGUACUGGAGGGGAAAGCGGAAUUCCUAGUGUAGCGGUAAAAUGCACAGAUAUUAGGAGGAACACCGGUGGCGAAGGCGGCUUUCUGGACAGUAACUGACGCUGAGGCGCGAAAGCGUGGGGAGCAAACA
rnacentral:rRNA from 1 species